rnacentral:rRNA from 1 species
CCUACGGGAGGCUGCAGUGAGGAAUAUUGGUCAAUGGGCGGAAGCCUGAACCAGCCAAGCCGCGUGAAGGACGAAGGUACCUAGUAUUGUAAACUUCUUUUGUCAGGGGACAAAGGCAGAGUCGAGUCUCCGAAUGAGUGUACCUGAAGAAAAAGCAUCGGCUAACUCCGUGCCAGCAGCCGCGGUAAUACGGAGGAUGCGAGCGUUAUCCGGAUUUAUUGGGUUUAAAGGGUGCGCAGGCGGGAGAUCAAGUCAGCGGUAAAAUGCCGGGGCUCAACCCCGGCGAGCCGUUGAAACUGGUUUUCUAGAGUUGGCGAGAGGUAUGCGGAAUGCGUGGUGUAGCGGUGAAAUGCAUAGAUAUCACGAAGAACUCCGAUUGCGAAGGCAGCAUACCGGCUCCAUUCUGACGCUGAGGCACGAAAGCGUGGGGAUCGAACAGGAUUAGAUACCCGAGUAGUC